UCUCUAGUGGUUUAAGAAGAACGUAAGAUUGCAAAUCUUGAGGUGGAAAUUUUCCUGGGGAU
rnacentral:tRNA from 1 species